rnacentral:SRP_RNA from 1 species
CCGUGCUAAGCGGGGAGCUAGCGGUGCCCUGUACCCGGAAUCCGCUAUACCGGGGCCGAACUCCCAUCCGAGGUCUGCUGCGGCCGGGAAGGGGGAUUUAAGCGGUGUUGAUGACCAGGUCCCGCGCAAUCCACAGUCUCCGAACCCCGUCAGGACCGGAAGGUAGCAGCGGUAGGAGGCUUCCUGGAUGUGAUGCGGGGUUGCUUGGACUGAGCUGGCUGAAUUUCCCGACCUGGGCUGGCGGGAUCAACGAUGGGUGCACGG